AGUCGCUCACAAGGGGGAGAUUGGACUAUGAAAAAAGGUUUCUGCUGCAGCUUGCAUUCCUGCUGCAAGGGCCUCCUCUUCAGACAGCCUUUGCCAGAGCAGAACUUUUCAAAAUGCUACAAAUAGGAUCUUCUUUUUUCUCCUUUAUUUAACCCUUCUCCUUUUAAAAAAAAAUGGGACUAAUUUUUCUUGUUUUCGGUGCUGUGCUUGGCUGUACAGUAUAUCGCAAUGUUGAGGUUAAAGCUACAAGUAUUUCUGCCACCACCCCCGCUGAUCCAUUUUUUUUCCGUCUUGGUUAAAGAAAUUGAUUUAUUUGACUGAGCAAUGAAUCAGGAUUUGCUAGUUUGUAUGCUGUGAGAAUGAUGGCUUUUAUUUGAAAUUUUUUUCUCAGUGCCAAUGCCUUGUGCUGCUCAUGGAACCAGCUUCUUUCUUUCUGUAUGUUUUUUAAUUGCUUCAGGUAUCUGUGCCACAUGAACAAGGAUGGAUGAUAGCCCUCCAACCCCCUUGUAAUCUGACCGUGGCUGAAAUGGAAAUACUGCGGGGCUUUUUUGUCCUUGCAGGGUCCCUCCCCUCCCUUUCUUUCACUGUUUAGGAGGGAAAAGGGGUGUGCAGUAAAAUGCUGUCUCUGGGACAGGUGCCAGCUCCAAGACAAAAGGAAUAAAAUAGGCGGUAAACGGGGAAAAUUAAGUGUCAACAAAAAUAGGAAUUGGAAAUGUGUAAGCGGCAACAUUGGUAGAAGUGUUGUCGGCUAUCCAGCCUUUCUGUUGAAUUUUAUCUGCAGAUAUUAGGCUAAAAGGAGAAAGUUUAGGCAUACUUUUUUAUUCAUCCUCUCUAUAGGCAUUUGAAAAGAUAAGGCGGUUCUUUUUUUUUUUUUUUUUGGACUACUGAAUUAUUCAUAGUGUCAGUGGUGAAGCCAGGACCAUUAGCAUGCAUCAGACAUGCUGUUUGUCUGUUUGCUAACAUUCUUCAUUCAAGACUUGUUAACUACCAGACAAGCUUAACACGCUUCUCUUUUCCCCCUCCCCUUCUCUCUCUCUCUCUCUCUCUGUCUCUUUCUCUCUCUCUUCUUUUCAUGCUACCCCUUUAGUCUCCUAUUGUUGUUGCUGGGAGCUGGCAGCCAGGGGUAGUUGUGGCAGGGAAAGCAUGUGGACGAAAAGCUGGAACCCGUUGCUAGGAGACUGCAGAACUGCAAGGUGAACACAUUGGCAUCCUCUCUCCAUAUCUGGUCCCUGAGGCUUGUUUCCCACCAUUCACAGGGCCCUCAGAAGUUGUACCAACCAGAAUCCACUCUCAACUACCUUGGGCAUGUGCCUGCUUUGAUGUCACAGAUAACAGGAAAGGGACCGUGCUGCAGCAUAGAUCUGGAGGUUAGCGGCAAACAACCGGGAAACUGAUUUUUCAUUAAAAACAGACUUUUCUACUUUAUGAAAGGAAGUGUGAUGUAUUGCGAAUCUGUGUCAAGCUAUCUAUGGAAGUCUCACUAAUAGAAAUUAAAAAAAUGAAAGAAGUUCGACUGGUCUUCUAUACAGAGGAAUUGACAAGAUUUCUCAUCUCUUCUGAAUUUUGGCCUUGUUCUGAUUUCUGAAAACUACCAUCUGAUCAUCAUCAUUUUCUACCAUUGAGUUCACAGAAACACACGAGAGCGUGAGCUUGUUCUGCGGCUGCUGCUAUCAGUCGUACGUGUCAUGCUUGGCAGCAAUGUUAUAUUUGGGCAGAAAUCCCAUCAGGACUAAUGCAACAAAUCAACUGAUAAGUCCCAAUAUUGAUUAUGCUGGAAGCAGAAGACCCGUUUGCUUAUCCCCAAGAAAACCUAGUGUGGAUGAGUGCCUAUGGGGUGAGACCAGGUUUAUAUUGAAAUACACUUUUGGGUUUCUCUGAUUGGGUUUCUCUGAUGGUCUAUUGUUUUCCUUAAUUUAUUGUCUAAUAAAAAUUACCUUGGAGACAUUAAAAGUAAUUAAAUUAGGAUAGAUUUUUAAAAGGUUUGGUUAUUUAUUAAGGCAGUGUUUAUACUAGAAUUCGGACUGAUAUCGCAGUUAUUUCUACCACUCCCAGGUUUUACUGAAUGAGAGGUGUUGUGUUCAGUAAGGCCAGAUGGUGGAGGGAAUUAACAGCUGCCUCAAACUCUAGCAUAGGUGUGAGAUUAGGAAUAAAUUAUACUACGGUGGCAAUUAUCCUAGUCACAGUAACCAAAGCAUAUGUAAUACAGGGGGAAUGUUUAGUUUGGCCAUUGAUUCAGAGCGUGUUACUAUCCUUUGGAGGGUAGCGUAUUUGUUUAAGUGAGCCAUAAAAUUUCCUAAUAGCCUUGACAAAUUCUUGGUUCAGUCUUAUGGAUUUAUCCAUUCAGUACUUGUGAAAGUAAAUUAGGGAAAUUCAUCUGUUGCCUAUUAAGAUUGGUAAGGAUUAUCAAGGUGCAUUAUAAAACAAGCUCACUAAACCAGCAUCAGCAUUCUAGGUAUUAGUGAUGAUGCCUUUUGAAAGUGGAAAAAUUGGUUUUGUAGUUGUGUCAGACCUGGACAUACAAAAGUGGCAUUUAUUAACAAUGAAUGCUGUAUCCUGUUUCCUCAUGCCUCUGACAUCACUUUAAGGGUUGCAUGUCCAUUAAAUGUGUUUCAGACAUCACACUGCAUCUAGUUAAGCAAAAUGACUAAUAGAUAGAAAUUCUAUUUCAAAUUCCAAACCAUUAAUAUUUUUCUCUAGAAUUUUUUGUCUUCUAGGUCAUCAACAUGCAGUUCAACUAUCUGGGAAGACUACUGAAGUUUCAGCUGAUCAGUCUGACUGUCCUUUGGGGUGAGGUAGUAGGUUGUAUAGUUUUAGGGUUAUACCCUGCCUGUCAGAUAACUAUACAAUCUACUGUCUUUCCUGAAGUGGCUGUAAUAUCAACGCUGGAUGUGUCUUCAAAACAUAAAACAAAAAUACUCUAAGUGGGAUGGUCCCUGGCUUCUUCCACUCAUUUGCAGUUUUGCAGCUGGAUUCAAAUAGAAUACAAAAACUAGCUUUAGUUAGUCUAUGCCUUAGAAGUUUUUCAUGAGGUACUUUAACAAGUACUGGAAUUCUGUAUUCGAAUUUCUCUCAUCAGUUUAAGCAUAUUAUAGAUUAUUGAUGUCAGGCUCUUUUUACAGCUAUGGUAGGGAUUGUAGGACAUUCUACUUGUCUAUUAGCAAUAAAUUUGUGGAAUUAAUCAUAUUAAGUUUUAACCUUUGGAGACUGAAGUAUUGAAACCCUGGAUAUAAUAGGUCUCAUAGGGCUAUGGUUGAAGCACAUUGUCUGGAUGGUUAUGGGAGUUUGAACUACCAUUGCCUGUAUGAUACCUAUCUAGAGAUAAAUAGGGAUGUUCGUUUCUAUGAAUGUCACUUCAGCACCUUUCCCCAACAUUGAACACACUGAAAUUAUUGUUAAAGUUCGUCAGAUUGCAAAAUAUGAAAAUACUUUUACUUUAGCUAGUAGCGUUUGCUUACUAGAGUUUGAUAUUGGAAUGAGCUCCACAUGGGCAGAACCUGCACCUGUAUGGAGCUCACUGCAGGAUGGAGGCCGAAGGUUGCAAACUUCGUGGUAUCAGAAGAGCAACCGGCCAUUGAGUCACAGUUACCAGAGUAUCUUGUAUAAAGAAUGUUCUCUUUUGUGAUCUAAUAAGAGGAUUCCGUUUUAGAAAGGACAUUUUAAUUGGAUAUUUUAACAUAUUAGCCCCUUAAUACUGAAAGUUGGGUUUCCCUGGUAUGCAUCUCACAGCCAUUUACUGGAUUGUACUGCCAUCCCCAGCAUCAGAGGAUUUAGUAAGAAUCUGCCGUUGAACUCUUACUGCUAUUAGACUAGCACUCAUACAGUGCUCCAAUGUCUGUAAUUUAUAUUAAAAACCAAUUGAAUUUUCACUAUUUUCAGUGAGUCACUGGGAGUAUGUAUGACAGGGUGCAGAGGUAAUGUAUGAUCUCCAGUGAACAGUGGGUUAACUCCAGCUCUGCAUCCCUUCCCCUAGCAUAUGUGCUCAGGGGAAAGGCCGUCAGAGUAGCCACUUGGAAGACAGAUGGCCUGAUUCUCCAUUGCCCUGCACCAUGUGCAGUCGUUUACAUCCAGUGCAAAAGUGCGCAUAAAAUGUUACCAUUGGAGCGUGGUGGCAGUUUGCACCCACUUUGCACAAGUGGCAGUGGCAGUUUAAGGUGCAGGGCAGAAAUGGACCCAAAGCAGAGAGCAUACACUUUGGGAAAUUGAGUUCCACCUCGGGAGCGAUGAUGCUAGCAUUAUUGAGGUUUUCUGUUCGUUGAUUGCUGAUUUAUCUUACUUUCUUGUUACAAACAUUACACUGAGAGGAAGAGUCCUUGCUGACUGAAACUCUUAUUUCUACUGAGUCAUUCCACCAGUUUGCACCGGGACUGUCAGGAAGGACUGAUAGCAAAGUUCGCAAGUGUGCUAUUCUUUCUAUAGGUAACAAAGAAAGGAUAUAUGGACUAUUAGAGCACAAGAGAUUUCUACUUGGGGAUUGUGGAUGCAAAGCCCACUGAAUUGCUAACCUUCUUCAAAAGAACUUACUUAUGCUCUAGCAGGGUGAGGUAGUAGGUUGUGUGGUUUCAGGGUAGUGAUUUUGCCCCAAUCAGGAGAUAACUAUACAACCUACUGCCUUCCCUGGUGAGCAGCAUUACAGCGCUCCAGGGACUCUUGAGCCUUUCUAGUUCUAAGCAAAGCAACCAUUUAAAUAUCCGGCCAUGACCAGCAAAGUAAGUCUAAACAUAACUGUGGUAUGAUCCUGCCCAGAGCAGCUUUUUAAUUUUAUUAAUCACAUUAUGCUAAAUUAAUAAAUAACUGCCUGCAAAUUUGUUUGUUUUUGAGAGUACAUUUAAAGUCCGAUUUAUCCCAAGACGUUCAAUAAAAUCAAGUUUUUGUUUGUUCAGAA